rnacentral:piRNA from 1 species
GGAGUCAAAACAAUUCAGGUCUUUC